rnacentral:tRNA from 1 species
GCAGUGGUAGUUCAGUGGUAGAACUCUCGCCUUGCAUUCAGGAGACCUGGAUUUGAUUCCUGACCAAUGCA